UCCCUUUCAUGGACAGCAGCCCUCUCUCCCUUUUCUUUUCUUUUCUUCCCCUUUUCUCUCCUUCUUCCCCUCUCUUCUUCACGCACAAUCUCUCUCUCUCUCUCCCCUCUCUUCCAUUUUCUUCUCUUCACCUAGCACACACACGACGCAGAGAGAGAUUCCAAGAGAGAAAUACUAAGAUUGUGAGUGGUUGUCCGUGAGGAGAGACCCUACCGUUGGUGAAGAAAAUGGUGAUCUUUGGCCAUGUACAUCAAGAAGGGUCGUGUCAUAAUUGGAGACUUCAAUGGGUUUUCCAAUGUUGAGUUCGAGUCGUAUUUCCAAUGCAGCCAGAUGAUGUCUCUUUGGUUGCAGGUACUCGGGUCGUAGUUGAUGGGGUCAUAGACGUGCAUUUGGGAUAUUAUGACCGGAGCUCACCGCGAUGGUCGUAAUUAUGGGAUCAUGGGCGUCCUUAGUUUUAUAGGUUUUGUAUGGCUUGUGACGCAUGUGUCACUCGUUAUUGUAUAAGCCAUUUCUAUUAUGUUUUUAUAUUGAGGAAAGACUUAAACACAUAGAUGUUAAAUGGCUCUUGUUAUUAAUUUAUGAUAGUUGUGUAA